AACUCCUCUGGGUCUUGUAACUGACGCUGAGGAGCGAAAGCGUGGGGAGCGAACAGGAUUAGAUACCCUGGUAGUCCACGCCGUAAACGAUGAGUGCUAAGUGUUAGGGGGUUUCCGCCCCUUAGUGCUGCAGCUAACGCAUUAAGCACUCCGCCUGGGGAGUACGGUCGCAAGACUGAAACUCAAAGGAAUUGACGGGGGCCCGCACAAGCGGUGGAGCAUGUGGUUUAAUUCGAAGCAACGCGAAGAACCUUACCAGGUCUUGACAUCCUCUGACAACCCUAGAGAUAGGGCUUUCCCUUCGGGGACAGAGUGACAGGUGGUGCAUGGUUGUCGUCAGCUCGUGUCGUGAGAUGUUGGGUUAAGUCCCGCAACGAGCGCAACCCUUGAUCUUAGUUGCCAGCAUUCAGUUGGGCACUCUAAGGUGACUGCCGGUGACAAACCGGAGGAAGGUGGGGAUGACGUCAAAUCAUCAUGCCCCUUAUGACCUGGGCUACACACGUGCUACAAUGGACAGAACAAAGGGCUGCAAGACCGCAAGGUUUAGCCCAAUCCCAUAAAUCUGUUCUCAGUUCGGAUCGCAGUCUGCAACUCGACUGCGUGAAGCUGGAAAUCGCUAGUAAUCGCGGAUCAGCAUGCCCGCGGUGAAUACGUUCCCGGGCCUUGUACACACCGCCCGUCACACCACGAGAGUUUGCAACACCCGAAGUCGGUGAGGUAA
rnacentral:rRNA from 1 species